rnacentral:misc_RNA from 1 species
CCAGAGCUAUCUCGCACAAGUUGAGCGCUCACGCUUAUCGGCUGUUGAUUAAGACAGACUAGCUGUCUGCGGUAUAAACCGGUUAUAAUGCCGGCCGCUUUCAAUAAUCUUCAAUGACAAACAUUCGAAUGAAGUUUGGUUCGAGUUUUUCUCAUUGGCGAUUGAGCCAGUCAGAGCGGUACGAAAGUAUCGGCUGUCGUUCUUUAACAAUCUGGAAGAAGUAAGUAAUUUGGAUAGCGGAAGCGUCUUGAGAUGGACGUGAAAACUAUCCGGGUUGUGAUUGUAUCGAUGUAUCUCAAGAUGAUUCGAACUCUAAGUUUGACUCAAUUGGAAUACGGCACAACGCGAGAACUCAACCUGUAGCGACUGUCGAUGAGACAGACUCGUUAUAG